UACGGGGGGGGCAAGCGUUGUUCGGAAUUACUGGGCGUAAAGGGCUCGUAGGUGGCCAACUAAGUCAGACGUGAAAUCCCUCGGCUUAACCGGGGAACUGCGUCUGAUACUGGUUGGCUUGAGUUUGGGAGAGGGAUGCGGAAUUCCAGGUGUAGCGGUGAAAUGCGUAGAUAUCUGGAGGAACACCGGUGGCGAAGGCGGCGUUCUGGACUGCAACUGACACUGAGGAACGAAAGCCAGGGGAGCAAACGGG
rnacentral:rRNA from 1 species